rnacentral:lncRNA from 1 species
GCUGCUCACUGGAAAUAAAAGGCUGGACAAAAAUGUAGAAAUGUUAUUAGCUGUUGGAGAUUUUGCUAAUAAUUUUGACCACCAAAGACAUGAAUUAAAGAUCUGAGUUGAGUUUAAGAAGCGAAAAUGAUUCCCUUUAUUCUUAUCCAUAUAUGUAGCACAUAGCACCACACAUGAUGAGCGCGCGGAGCUCGUCCUAUAUGCAUAUAUGCAUGUCACACAUGUAUGGUCGCAACAUGCUUAUUUAUUCAUGAGCGAGAGAAUUGUCUCUAGCUCCACUGAGACUCCUCCAUAGCGAGGCAGUACGGAGUGUUGUGAACGGUCGUCAAGUUGCAGUACCCCGGCGUGACGAGUAUCCUCACGAAGUCCAUCUGCACCUCCCUAGGGCAUCCGGGGAGUUCCAUGAGGCCGCUCUGAUCCGGACGAGACUUCGGCCCCAUGAAGUAGCGCAGCGCCUGGCAUCGGCACUGCUGCGGAAUGUUUGCAAGCUCCCCACAGCACUGCUGCUUGGCGAGGUACGGCGACCCGGGCGUUUCGAUGCGACAUGCUUGUUGUUCCACAUAGUCACGGCAGCUUGGGAGUGGAGUGAUCAGAGUACUCAUCCAUGGGGUGCAAUCUUCAUUGCCGAUGGCGGCAACGGCGGCAAAGAUGGAGACUAGGACGGCGGCCAAGAGGAGAACGCAGUUGGACUUGGACGCCAUAUUUGUUUUGACAGGCCCAGUUCGUUGGUAUAGGUUUGUUUUGUCACUGCGCUGGUGGGUGUAUGCUACACGUACCACACUUGCAUGUAUAUAUACUCCUAGAAAGGUAUAAGAAAAGCAGAGCUGGUAGCAAUUAACUAAAUUUGUAGUGUUAUAUGAUGAUUAUGAUGAGCUAGAGUGCACUUAAUUAAUUAGUUGGAACCGAAUUUGGAGGGGAAUGCAAGCUGGCUUUUGCCUGUAAGCAGUGAGAGAUUCCUAGCCGCUAGAGCCUGCCAUGGUUGAUGUGGCAUUCUUUUCUUCUCUUGUCUAGUUGUCAUCAGUACUUAAAAGUGGAGCAUCAAUUAAGCUUGCUAGUUUAUGCGUGAGACUGUAGCUAAACCAACAACGGACUUUGUUUUUGCAUGCUGUGAUAGAGCAAACAUGUGGCUAAUUUUUUUAAAUAAUACAUUUUUCUAAUUAAUUUGCAUAAAUAUUACGCCGAUAUUUUUAUUUUUAAAAAUAAUAAAACAUCGGCCCGCUGCAGGCCGACUGAGUCUAGUCGGCCCACCGCAGGGACUAAUUGGCUUGCUGGGAACCAAUUAGUCCAGUCGGCCUCAGGCCGACUGGAAGCCAAUCGGCCUGCGAUGGGCCGACUAGGUGCAUUUGGCCAUUUUUGGUUUUAGUUGUUGUUUUCUAUUUACUCUAGCUAUCAAAUGAAUAUAGUUUGUGUUGAAACUUUUUGCAUAAAUUACUAGCAAUAUUAACAAGCCACAUAUAAAUUUUCAUAAUUUUUGGAAAACCACAUUUUUACAAUUGUAUUUGAUAGCUCCUGGUGAAUAUAGAUAGGGUAUAAAUUUAUCUAUCCAAAUUGUUUUUUUAUUUUUAUAGAUGUUAAAAUAUCGAGGAGAAUAAUUUAAAUUUUUUUGUGCAACAAUUUGAGAAUACUUUUUUUGGUUUAUGAAACAAUUUGAGAAUUUUCCUCAAACUGUUUCACAAAAAUUGUUUCAUAUUGUUUCAAAUUGUUUCAUAAGCCAAAACAAAUUCCUCAAAUUGUUUCAAAAAAAUGUUAAACCAUUCUUCUCAAUAUUUUAAUAUUUAUAAAAAUAAAAAAAUCAAUUUGGAUAAUUAAAUUUAAACCCUAUCUAUAUUCACCAGGAGUUAUCAAAUGUAAAAAUGUGGUUUUCCAAAAAUUAUGAAAAUUUAUAUGUGGCUUGUUAAUAUUGCUAGUAAUUUAUGCAAAAAGUUUCAACAGAAACCAGAUUCAUUUGAUAGCUAGAAUAAAUAGAAAACAACAACUAAAACCAAAAACAGAAAAAAAAAUGGCCACAUGCACCUAGUCAGCCCACCGCGGGCCGAUUGGCUUCCAGUCGGCCCGCAGCAAGCCGACUGGAACUAAUUGGCUUGCUGCGAACCAAUUAGUGCCCAGUCGACUUGUUGCGGGCCGACUGGAGGCCAAUCAGCCCGCGGUGGGCCGACUAGGCUCAGUCGGCCUGCAGCGGGCCGAUGGUGUAUUAUUUUUGAAAAUAAAAAUAUCGGCGUAAUAUUUAUGCAAAUUAAUUAAAUAAAUGUAUUAUUUAAUAAAAAAUAGCAAACAUGUGACGGCAGUGUGGGUGAGCAACUUUGCAAAGCAUUGUUUUGGAAGGGCGGAUAGGGGCCAGUCAACCGGCCCAAAAUUCGGCCGGUCACCGCGCAGCCAUAGGAUCCUCACGGCCGUGGCCGUCUGAUGCGUUUCCCAUCAUCCUUUGACUCUCCCUCUUCGCAUAUGAAAAAGGCAAGCACACAAAAAAAAUGGCAGCCACCCCUCCCUCUCCCCAUGGCGAUGGUGGCGUCGACGGUGUCGCUCGCAACCAAAAAGUUAGGGUAGCAAAACAAAAAUGCUGGUUGUUCCAGCAAAAGUAGAAGACGGUGGUAGCAAAAAAUUAGUCUGCCUCCAGCAAAAAUCAACAGACAGUAGCAAUUUUCUAUUUGGUUCUAACAAAAUCAAAAGAAGGUAGUAGCAAAAAUUGAGGCAGGCUCCAACAAAAAAUUUUACCUCGUCGGCUUUCCAGCAAAAAGAAAUUUGGCCGCCGGUGGUAGCUUUCCCGCUCGCGGUUGCAACAAAUUCAUAGCCCGUCAUCGCCAGUCACACUUCAUCAUUUCCUGGUUGUAGGAAAACCGGGCGCCGAUGGUAUCUUUCCUCGUUGCCCCUUGCAGCAAAAGUCGUGGCGCCGGCCACGCUGGCCUGGUAGUAGCAAAUCCGGUUGUUGAUGGUAGUUUUCUCAGUUGCCCGUUGUAGCAAAAACCACGGCGCCGUCAUAGUCGGGCACGCUUAUUGUCGCUUUGUUGCAGCAACUUCGGCCACUGGUGGUAGCUUUCCUGGUGCCGGUUGCAGCGAAUCACAUCGCCAGUUGCAGUGUCAGCACCGGUGGCCACCACCUCCNNNNNNNNNNNNNNNNNNNNNNNNNNNNNNNNNNNNNNNNNNNNNNNNNNNNNNNNNNNNNNNNNNNNNNNNNNNNNNNNNNNNNNNNNNNNNNNNNNNNNNNNNNNNNNNNNNNNNNNNNNNNNNNNNNNNNNNNNNNNNNNNNNNNNNNNNNNNNNNNNNNNNNNNNNNNNNNNNNNNNNNNNNNNNNNNNNNNNNNNNNNNNNNNNNNNNNNNNNNNNNNNNNNNNNNNNNNNGGACGACCAUGGCUUCCCCGGGUUGCAUCAGCCCCUGAGUAUUCCUCGCAACGGCGGUGUACGCGGUGGGGGCAAUCGGCUGCCAACCCGCCCAUCUCGACCCGAUCUAGAUGCAAAAAAGGGUGGCACAUGUAACCGAGGUGAUUUCUCCGAUGGCUUAAUUUGGACGCUCGCUGCCGGCACAAGUGCUGGAGGUAGGGUAUGAGAAGAGAGUGGAUGGGUGGAAGAGGGGAGCCUUCUAUAUGGGAUAAGAGCGUCGAGAGGGAUCAAGGGGGAUGGGGAGCGGUGCGCCACGGAGGUUGCGCUAGUGACGUGGCCACUUGAGCAACUAGGCGUCGUUUUACCGAGUGGGAUUGUGCAAGUCACACACGACCGGCCGAGCAUUCCGCCGGCCAGCCGAAUGUAAACGUUUCUCUUUUUUGAAUUAAUAGCAAAAUCAAAGGUCUACACAGAUGGAUCGGCUACGACUCAAAACCUAACACUUUAAGAAAAAACUAGAUGAUAUCCCUCUCGUUGUUACGUGAAUCGUUUGCAAUAUAUUUCAAUCACAUUUGAUUGUGUGAAAUGUAAAUGUUUAGAUCAAUAACAUGUGAACAAAAUUUAACAAUACAUAUGAGCUACUAUAUUUAAUUAUGUAUAGUUGCAAAAUAGUUAUUAACAUAAGUAGAAUAAUAGAAUGAAAGAUAUUUUCCCAUGCAUGGUUGCAUGUGGUGGUGGGUCUUCUCUCAUGCAUGGUGGCAUGUUGAGGUGAGCUUUAUCCCAUCCUUAAUUGUAUGAUAAUGUGGCACGCUUGCAUGUUGAGAUAUCUUACAUUUUUAAGAAGUUGGUUUCAAUUCUCUCAACAUGCAAAGUGUCCACCUCAAUGUCCCACUAAGCAAUGCAUUUAAGUCUUCUCUCCCACUAAGCCAUGCAAAAUCUAGCACAUAAAGUCAUGCAUUUAACUUAUAAAAUACAAUUAUUUUUGCAUUAGUCUAUGCCUGUAACACUGCCACAUCAUAUAUUCAUGUUAGUCAUCCUUCACAUUUUUGUUCAAAAUGACAUUAUUAACUGUAAUUCAAAAGUUUUUAUUCUAUUUUUAGAUAUUUUUUAUUGAUUUUCAAGCUUAUACUUUAGAUUUAGUUAUUUUUAUCAACUACUUACGCUUUUUUUAACAAAGUUACCGCAGAAACACGUGGGGAGAGAGUCAUCCUCACUACUCGAUUUCAGAGUUAUUUAUUAAAUCCAACUCAUCUUCUACUGCAAAACAUUUCUUAUUUCUAAUUUCUUACUCCUUUUCUCAUUACCAUGUGCCCCUCUCUUUUAAAUUGUUUAUUACACUACCAUUCCGCUGCAACGCGCAAGGUAUUGUCUAGUAUAACUUAGUGAUGAUGACUCUUUUAAGUAUAUAUAGGAUGAGGAUAAAAUCUGGCAUCUACAUCAUUUUGAUGCAUACAACCAUUUUUUUUAAACAAUGAGUAUCAAGGUCCGGUGCAUCAAACUUCAUAAUAAAUAGAAAGAAGCCACCACCAUUGACAAUAGGACUAUAUAUACUUACACGCAUAGCCUAUUAUUAAACCGCAAUCCAAGCAGAUUGUAAGUAACAUGUAGAACUGUCUCCCACUGCUUGCACCCAACACCCAUAGCUCAUAUACCUUCACAUGCUGCAAUAAGGACCAUGUACGUAUCCAUGUGUAGCUCCGAAAAUGAUGUGCAUAAAGUUCUAUAUUUUGACUCUGUUAAAAACACAGUCAAGCCGACAAUUUCAUAGAACCCAGGGCAAAUCACAAACUCCCGCCCAGAUAUGUGGUUUAACUUUAUUAUUAACCCCACCAAACAGGUUUGCCAUACUAGUAGGUAGCGGCAGGAUAAUCACAUAAAUCGUACUCCCUCCGUCCCAUAAUGUAAGACGUUUUUUUGACACUAGUGUAGUGUCAAAAAAUAUCUUGCAUUAUGCGACGGAGGGAGUAUAUCAUACCAAGGUGGCAAAAUAACAGGAAAUAAACGUAUGAUAACUUGUUUCAUCCUGAUAACAAAAUAACAUCACACUGGACUAUGACUCAGAACCUAGUUUACGAUACAAAAUCUCCAACCACACGAUUUCGCGUUCAGGCCAAUAACAGCCCCAAGACAUAGGCACAUAAUCCAAUGCGUUUGAUAUUUGAUAUCUGCAAAGAAAACGUAAGAUGAUCUUUAUUGAAUGGCAUCUAAUAAGGCCAGGUUUGGUUCAUCAUGGGCCCCUGAACCUUUACUACCUACAGUUGUUCAAAUUAUAAGACUUUCCAGUACAAUUUGCACCAGUCAAACAUUUCUGAGUUUGUCCUUCCAAAAGAGAAAAAACAUUUUGAAAUUUCUCCCGGCAAAGGGAAAAAUAUUCAUAAGUUUGAUUCAUAUGUUUUCUAGUCAUAUUUGUCAACAUCGGUUUGUCAAUUGUUGCUCAUCAUGCAAUUUCUUGUCUUAGGGUGGGAUCGCCAUGGAGAAGUACAAGCAAUUUCCGUCAUUGUUGGAACUUGCUCAAGAAGGAUGAGAACUGGAAGACGAUGAAUGAUGAGGCUCCACCGAAGAAAUCAAGGUCAAGUACCUCGUGCUUUUUGAAGGUUGACAAAGAAGAAGAAGAUGAUGAUAUUGAUGAGGGUGGCGAUGCUAAGAGGAGACUGAGGAGUCCUACUCCAUCGAGCAAGAGGGUGAAGGGUAUGCUUGAGAGGGAAGUGGAUGUCAUUUACACGAGGGAGAAGAUAUAUAAGUUGAUCACGACGAAGAAGGACAUGGUGGCGCGAAUCAUGCAAGCCAAGUUUGACUUGGUGGAGAAGAAAAGACAAGAUAAGUUGGUGAGGUGGCGAGAGAUGAAUGACGGCAAGAGGCACAAGGUUGACAUGGAGAAGGGUCAGCUUCUACUCAAGGAGAACCAAAUGAGGCAAUAGGGUGUGGCCGAUGAGAAUAUGAUCAUGAAGAUGGGUCCCGGUGGUUAGCCGUGAGUUAGCUAUGUUAGGAGGGGAGUUCAUGGUAGAACUGGAAUCUGGCUAAGGCUCCUCAAAGAUUGAUGAUGCCAUAUACAUGAAAUUUACUCCUAUUUUAACUUACAUAUUAUAUUUCCUCAUAAAUGAAACAACAGGGGAGGACGGGCUAGGAAUACUAUUACGAACAAGAGUACAUGAAACCCUUUCGUAUCUCGAGCUCUAGUGAGCCCUGAUGUUUUCAAAAUUACAAAUAAAUGUUUUAGAAGUAUCAAAAGAAUUGACAUGCAAACAUGGACGCCCAUCUGUACCUAUAAAUUGUCAUGUAAGGCACGCUAAAGACAAUAGGUAUGCAUUGUUUUCUAUUAUAAUCCAUGAAUAUAUGGAUCAAGGGAGACUUCUAAGGAUCAUAAGGAAUAACUAAGAUAGCCCCAAAGCUAUAAAUAGGUGAGGAAAAAGGAAGAAAAGCCCAAAGCGGUCAGAUCCAUGAUUGACAACUACAUCAAUGGCCAUAUCCAUACCAACCAGUUCAUGAUACCACACUGACGAGGGGGGUCUUCAAUGAUUCCAUGGCUCCAAUGAUGCGGAACAAGUGAGGCAUUUAGCUAGGCUCGAGACGUGCCAUCUUCUUGUGGAUGUUAGAGACGGCGAUGAACUUCCCUUGGAUCUGCUUGUAAUCUUUAUUUUUGUCAUAGGUUUAUUAGGUUUGGACUUAGUUAAUAACUUAUAUCUGGCUUUGGCCUUUGAAAAAUAAAUGAUCCAGUUGAAAUGUCGCUUUGGCCUUUGACAGACUAAAAUGAUCUAGUUGAAAUUAAAGAACCACAGAAUGAUUCUCUUUAUUCUCAUUCAUAGCAGAUAGCCCACACAUGUUGAGCGCGCGGAGCUCACAUAUGUAUACAUGCACACCACACGCCUAUGGAUGCAACAUGCAUGCUUAUUCACGAGCGACUGAUUUUAUCUCUAGAUCCACAGAGGCUGUUCCACGGCGGGGCAGUAUCGAACAUUGUGAAUGGUCGCCAAGUUGCACUGCCCCGGGGCGACGAGUAAUCUGACGAAGUCCCAUUGCAUCUCCCUGGGGCAUCCGGGCAGAUCGAUGAGGCCGCUCUCACCAACAUUGCCGGACCUCGGGUCCACAGGCUGAGACGGUACCGGCAACGCUAUGAAGUAGCGCAGCGCCUCGCACCGGCACUGCUGAGAAAUUUCUGCGAGCUCCUGGCAGCAAUACAACUUGGCGAGGUACGGUUUCCCAGGGGAGUAUAUCGACGCAGAUGUCAUCCAUUCGGGUAACUUUGACCCAGGGGUGAAGGUGCCACAAGUUUGUUGUAACACAUAGUCGCGGCAGUGUGGCAGAAGAUUGGUCCGAAAAGCCACCCCUGGGACGCAGCUGCCGGAG